rnacentral:rRNA from 1 species
GACGUAGGGCGCGAGCGUUGUUCGGAAUUAUUGGGCGUAAAGCGCGUGUAGGCGGCUUUGCAAGUCGGGUGUGAAAGCCCUCAGCUCAACUGAGGAAGUGCGCCCGAAACUGCAGAGCUUGAGUACCGGAGAGGAUGGCGGAAUUCCCCAAGUAGAGGUGAAAUUCGUAGAUAUGGGGAGGAACACCGGUGGCGAAGGCGGCCAUCUGGACGGAUACUGACGCUGAGACGCGAAAGCGUGGGGAGCAAACAGG